GUUCGAUCUCAAAUCAGGUAGGACUACCCGCUGAACUUAAGCAUAUCAAUAAGCGGAGGA
rnacentral:rRNA from 1 species